rnacentral:rRNA from 1 species
UUGAACGCUGGCGGCAGGCCUAACCCAUGCAAGUCGAGCGGAUGAAGGGAGCUUGCUCCUGGAUUCAGCGGCGGACGGGUGAGUAAUGCCUAGGAAUCUGCCUGGUAGUGGGGGAUAACGUCCGGAAACGGGCGCUAAUACCGCAUACGUCCUGAGGGAGAAAGUGGGGGAUCUUCGGACCUCACGCUAUCGGAUGAGCCUAGGUCGGAUUAGCUAGUUGGUGGGGUAAAGGCCUACCAAGGCGACGAUCCGUAACUGGUCUGAGAGGAUGAUCAGUCACACUGGAACUGAGACACGGUCCAGACUCCUACGGGAGGCAGCAGUGGGGAAUAUUGGACAAUGGGCGAAAGCCUGAUCCAGCCAUGCCGCGUGUGUGAAGAAGGUCUUCGGAUUGUAAAGCACUUUAAGUUGGGAGGAAGGGCAGUAAGUUAAUACCUUGCUGUUUUGACGUUACCAACAGAAUAAGCACCGGCUAACUUCGUG